AUGUGCACCUGUACAUGUGUGAAUAUGCAUGCCAGUAUAUGUGCGUUGGUGUGUGUUCAGCUGUGUAUAUUCAGCUGUGUAUUUGUGUGUGUUUGCAACAGUGUGUGUGCAUGUCUGUCUCUGUAUGUGUUCAUGCGUGUUCACACCUGCAUGUGUGCGCCUGCCUGUGUGUACAUGUGUUUGGUUUGCCUGUGUGUGUGCACAUGCCUGUGUCUGUGCAUGUGUGCACACCCGUGUGUACUUCUAUGUGCUCAUGCCUGUGUGUGCAUGUUUGCACCUGUGUGUGUGCACCUGCCUGUGUAUACGCAUGUGUUUGGACCUGUGUGCCCAUGUGUUUGUGUGUGUGUGUGUGUGCACAUGCCUGUCUGUUUAUAUGCAUGUUUAGACCUGUGUGCCCAUGUGUUUGUGUGUGUGUGUGUGUGCACGUGCCUAUCUGUGUAUAUGCACGUUUGGACCUGUGUGCCCAUGUGUUUGUGUGUGUGUGUGCACGUGCCUAUCUGUGUAUAUGCACGUUUGGACCUGUGUGCCCAUGUGUUUGUGUGUGUGUGCGUGCACGUGCCUAUCUGUGUAUAUGCACGUUUGGACCUGUGUGCCCAUGUGUUUGUGUGUGUGUGUGCACGUGCCUAUCUGUGUAUAUGCACGUUUGGACCUGUGUGCCCAUGUGUUUGUGUGUGUGUGCAUGUGCCUAUCUGUGUAUAUGCACGUUUGGACCUGUGUGCCCAUGUGUUUGUGUGUGUGUGUGCACGUGCCUGUCUGUGUAUAUGCAUGUGUUUGGACCUGCGUGCCCAUGUCUUUUUGUGUGUGUGUGUGCACCUGCCUGUCUGUGUAUAUGCAUGUGUUUGGACCUGCGUGCCCAUGUCUUUUUGUGUGUGUGUGUGUGCACCUGCCUGUCUGUGUAUAUGCAUGUGUUUGGACCUGCGUGCCCAUGUGUUUGUGUGUGUGUGUGUGUGCACGUGCCUGUCUGUGUAUAUGCAUGUGUUUGGACCUGCGUGCCCAUGUCUUUUUGUGUGUGUGUGUGCACGUGCCUGUCUGUGUAUAUGCAUGUGUUUGGACCUGCGUGCCCAUGUCUUUUUUUGUGUGUGUGUGUGCACGUGCCUGUCUGUGUAUAUGCAUGUGUUUGGACCUGCGUGCCCAUGUGUUUGUCUGUGUGUGUGUGCACGUGCCUGUCUGUGUAUAUGCAUGUGUUUGGACCUGUGUGCCCAUGUGUUUGUGGGUGUGUGUGUGUGCACGUGCCUGUCUGUGUAUAUGCACGUUUGGACCUGUGUGCUCAUGUGUUUGUGUGUGUGUGUGUGUGCACAUGCCUGUCUGUGUAUAUGCACGUUUGGACCUGUGUGCCCAUGUGUUUGUGUGUGUGUGUGUGCACGUGCCUAUCUGUGUAUAUGCAUGUUUGGACCUGCGUGCCCAUGUGUUCGUGUGUUUGUGUGCACGUGCCUGUCUGUGUAUAUGCAUGUGUUUGGACCUGCGUGCCCAUGUCUUUUUUUGUGUGUGUGUGUGCACGUGCCUGUCUGUGUAUAUGCAUGUGUUUGGACCUGCGUGCCCAUGUCUUUUUGUGUGUGUGUGUGCACGUGCCUCUGUGUGUUUGGGCUAUUAUUGCAUCUGGUUAUUUUGUUUAAAGAAGCCAAGUUCAAUUUUUGGGUUUGA
ensembl:lncRNA